AACGGCAGCACGGGAGCUUGUUCCUGGUGGCGAGUGGCGAACGGGUGAGUAAUGCGUCGGAACGUACCGAGUGAUGGGGGAUAACGCACCGAAAGGUGUGCUAAUACCGCAUACGCCCUGAGGGGGAAAGCGGGGGAUCGCAAGACCUCGCGCGAUAGGAGCGGCCGAUAUCGGAUUAGCUUGUUGGUGAGGUAAAGGCUCACCAAGGCGACGAUCCGUAGCUGGUCUGAGAGGACGACCAGCCACACUGGAACUGAGACACGGUCCAGACUCCUACGGGAGGCAGCAGUGGGGAAUUUUGGACAAUGGGGGCAACCCUGAUCCAGCCAUUCCGCGUGAGUGAAGAAGGCCUUCGGGUUGUAAAGCUCUUUCAGCAGGAACGAAACGGUGGCCACUAAUACUGGCUACUAAUGACGGUACCUGAAGAAGAAGCACCGGCUAACUACGUGCCAGCAGCCGCGGUAAUACGUAGGGUGCGAGCGUUAAUCGGAAUUACUGGGCGUAAAGCGUGCGCAGGCGGUUCCAUAAGACAGAUGUG
rnacentral:rRNA from 1 species